UAUUAUGGAGAGUUUGAUCCUGGCUCAGGAUGAACGCUGGCGGCGUGCCUAAUACAUGCAAGUCGAGCGAACCACUUCGGUGGUGAGCGGCGAACGGGUGAGUAACACGUAGGUUAUCUGCCCAUCAGACGGGGACAACGAUUGGAAACGAUCGCUAAUACCGGAUAGGACGAAAGUUUAAAGGUGCUUCGGCACCACUGAUGGAUGAGCCUGCGGCGCAUUAGCUAGUUGGUAGGGUAAAGGCCUACCAAGGCGACGAUGCGUAGCCGACCUGAGAGGGUGAACGGCCACACUGGGACUGAGACACGGCCCAGACUCCUACGGGAGGCAGCAGUAGGGAAUCUUCGGCAAUGGGCGAAAGCCUGAC
rnacentral:rRNA from 1 species